AACUUUUUAGCUUAGAAAGCAUGUGCCUUGAAAGCACAAGACAGAGAAUAACCACUCUAAAAGUUG
rnacentral:tRNA from 1 species